rnacentral:rRNA from 3 species
GAAAUCGUACCCCAAACCGACACAGGUGGUCAGGUAGAGAAUACCAAGGCGCUUGAGAGAACUCGGGUGAAGGAACUAGGCAAAAUGGUGCCGUAACUUCGGGAGAAGGCACGCUGACACGUAGGUGAAGUGAUUUACUCAUGGAGCUGAAGUCAGUCGAAGAUACCAGCUGGCUGCAACUGUUUAUUAAAAACACAGCACUGUGCAAACACGAAAGUGGACGUAUACGGUGUGACGCCUGCCCGGUGCCGGAAGGUUAAUUGAUGGGGUCAGCGUAAGCGAAGCUCCUGAUCGAAGCCCCGGUAAACGGCGGCCGUAACUAUAACGGUCCUAAGGUAGCGAAAUUCCUUGUCGGGUAAGUUCCGACCUGCACGAAUGGCGUAAUGAUGGCCAGGCUGUCUCCACCCGAGACUCAGUGAAAUUGAACUCGCUGUGAAGAUGCAGUGUACCCGCGGCAAGACGGAAAGACCCCGUGAACCUUUACUAUAGCUUGACACUGAACAUUGAGCCUUGAUGUGUAGGAUAGGUGGGAGGCUUUGAAGUGUGGACGCCAGUCUGCAUGGAGCCGACCUUGAAAUACCACCCUUUAAUGUUUGAUGUUCUAACGUGGACCCGUAAUCCGGGUUGCGGACAGUGUCUGGUGGGUAGUUUGACUGGGGCGGUCUCCUCCUAAAGAGUAACGGAGGAGCACGAAGGUUGGCUAAUCCUGGUCGGACAUCAGGAGGUUAGUGCAAUGGCAUAAGCCAGCUUGACUGCGAGCGUGACGGCGCGAGCAGGUGCGAAAGCAGGUCAUAGUGAUCCGGUGGUUCUGAAUGGAAGGGCCAUCGCUCAACGGAUAAAAGGUACUCCGGGGAUAACAGGCUGAUACCGCCCAAGAGUUCAUAUCGACGGCGGUGUUUGGCACCUCGAUGUCGGCUCAUCACAUCCUGGGGCUGAAGUAGGUCCCAAGGGUAUGGCUGUUCGCCAUUUAAAGUGGUACGCGAGCUGGGUUUAGAACGUCGUGAGACAGUUCGGUCCCUAUCUGCCGUGGGCGCUGGAGAACUGAGGGGGGCUGCUCCUAGUACGAGAGGACCGGAGUGGACGCAUCACUGGUGUUCGGGUUGUCAUGCCAAUGGCACUGCCCGGUAGCUAAAUGCGGAAGAGAUAAGUGCUGAAAGCAUCUAAGCACGAAACUUGCCCCGAGAUGAGUUCUCCCUGAGACUUAGAGUCUCCUGAAGGAACGUUGAAGACGACGACGUUGAUAGGCCGGGUGUGUAAGCGCAGCGAUGCGUUGAGCUAACCGGUACUAAUGAACCGUGAGGCUUAACCUUACA